rnacentral:rRNA from 1 species
ACUACGGGUGGCAGCAGUGGGGGAUAUUGCACAAUGGGGGGAACCCUGAUGCAGCGACGCCGCGUGGGUGAAGAAGCGCCUCGGCGCGUAAAGCCCUGUCAGCAGGGAAGAAAAUGACGGUACCUGAAGAAGAAGCCCCGGCUAACUACGUGCCAGCAGCCGCGGUAAUACGUAGGGGGCAAGCGUUAUCCGGAUUUACUGGGUGUAAAGGGGGCGCAGACGGCGAUGCAAGCCAGGAGUGAACGCCCGGGGCCCACCCCCGGGACUGCUCUUGGAACUGCGUGGCUGGAGUGCAGGAGGGGCAGGCGGAAUUCCUGGUGUAGCGGUGAAAUGCGUAGAUAUCAGGAGGAACACCGGUGGCGAAGGCGGCCUGCUGGACUGCAACUGACGUUGAGGCCCGAAAGCGUGGGGAGCAAACAGGAUUAGAUACCCCGGUAGUC